GAUGAACGCUAGCUACAGGCUUAACACAUGCGAGUCGCGGGGCAGCAUGGGGGUUGCUUGCCAUCCCCGAUGGCGACCGGCGCACGGGUGAGUAACGCGUAUCCAACCUGCCCUUCACCACGGGAUAACCCGGCGAAAGUCGGACUAAUACCGUAUGUUGUCCAUUGACGGCAUCCGAUUUGGACGAAAGGCUUGGCGGUGAGGGAUGGGGAUGCGUCCGAUUAGCCAGACGGCGGGGUAACGGCCCACCGUGGCUACGAUCGGUAGGGGUUCUGAGAGGAAGGUCCCCCACACUGGAACUGAGACACGGUCCAGACUCCUACGGGAGGCAGCAGUGAGGAAUAUUGGUCAAUGGGCGUAAGCCUGAACCAGCCAAGUAGCGUGCAGGAUGACGGCCCUAUGGGUUGUAAACUGCUUUUAUGCGGGGAUAAAGUGGCCCACGUGUGGGCUUUUGCAGGUACCGCAUGAAUAAGGACCGGCUAAUUCCGUG
rnacentral:rRNA from 1 species